rnacentral:rRNA from 1 species
CCUACGGGUGGCAGCAGUGGGGAAUAUUGGGCAAUGGAGGCAACUCUGACCCAGCAAUGCCGCGUGAGUGAUGAAGGUAAUUUUAUUGUAAGGCUCUUUUCUGUGGAACGAAUAAAUGACGGCACCAAAGGAAUAAGCCCCGGCUAACUACGUGCCAGCAGCCGCGGUAAUCCGGAGGGGGCACGCGUUGUUCGGAAUGACUGGGCGUAAGGGGGUUGAGGGGGGUUGGUAAGUUAGAGUGUUAAUUACCGAGGCUUAACCUGGGUGCUGCAUCCGAAACUGUUAGGCUUGAGUUCGGGAGAGGUUAGUGGAAUUCCUGGUGUAGCGGUGAAAUGCGUAGAUAUUAGGAGGAACAUCAGUGGCGAAGGCGACUAUCUGGACAGCAACUGACGCUGAGGCACGAAAGCGAGGGGAGCAAACAGGAUUAGAUACCCGGGUAGUC